rnacentral:rRNA from 1 species
GACAGAGGGUGCAAACGUUGUUCGGAAUUACUGGGCGUAAAGCGUGUGUAGGCGGUUUGUUAAGUCAGACGUGAAAGCCCCGGGCUCAACCCGGGAAGUGCGCUUGAUACUGGCAAACUUGAGUGUCGGAGAGGUUGGUAGAAUUCUCGGUGUAGAGGUGAAAUUCGUAGAUAUCGAGAGGAAUACCGGCGGCGAAGGCGGCCAACUGGACGAACACUGACGCUGAGACACGAAAGCGUGGGGAGCAAACAGG